UUUGCCUUCCAACCCAGUGGCUCGUCUGACUCCCGCCGGCGUGAACCCGGAAUUGCGGUCUGGGAAUGCUGCUCACGGGAUUGCCGAUGAGGACGGCUUUACGACGGUUGGACCACGACGACGAACCAAGCCGUCACUUGGAACCGCCAGACCUAACAAGGUGACAGCGUCUAGCCCCUGAAGCCAUGGUUGCACACCAAUUCUUCGCAACCCCAAUGGAUGCUAUAUUGUACCGAGGCCAAGCUUAAUAAAAAGCAUUCCUAAAGA